ACGCUGGCGGCGUGCCUAAUACAUGCAAGUUGAACGCAACAAAGACACCAGAGCUUGCUCUACCGUCUUUGUUGAGUAGCGAACGGGUGAGUAACGCGUGGGUAACCCGCCUUAUAGCGGGGAUAACUAUUGGAAACGAUAGCUAAUACCGCAUAACAAUAGAGAUUGCAUAAUUCUUUAUUUGAAAGUGCCAACUGGUACACUAUGAGAUGGACCCGCGUUGUAUUAGCUAGUUGGUAGUGUAAUGGACUACCAAGGCGAUGAUACAUAGCCGACCUGAGAGGGUGAUCGGCCACAUUGGGACUGAGACACGGCCCAAACUCCUACGGGAGGCAGCAGUAGGGAAUCUUCGGCAAUGGACGAAAGUCUGACCGAGCAACGCCGCGUGAGUGAAGAAGGUUUUCGGAUCGUAAAACUCUGUUGUUAGAGAAGAAUGUUGAUUAGAGUGGAAAAUUAAUCAAGUGACGGUAUCUAACCAGAAAGGGACGGCUAACUACGUG
rnacentral:rRNA from 1 species